rnacentral:rRNA from 1 species
GACGAACGCUGGCGGCGUGCUUAACACAUGCAAGUCGAACGGAAAGGCCCUGCUUUUGUGGGUUUCUCGAGUGGCGAACGGGUGAGUAACACGUGAGUAACCUGCCCUUGAAUUUGGGAUAACUUCACGGAACUGGGGCUAAUACCGGGUAGGAUCUCCUGCUGCAUGAUGGGGGUUGGAAAAUUUCGGCGGUUGGGGAUGGACUCGCGGCUUAUCAGCUUGUUGGUGGGGUAGUGGUUGACCAAGGCUUUGACGGGUAGCCGGCAUGAGAGGGUGACCGGGCACAUGGCGCCUGAGAGACGGCGCAGACUCGUACGGGCGGCAGCAGUGGGGAAUCUUGCACAAUGGGGGGAAGCCUGAGGCAGCAAUGUCGCGUGCGGGAUGACGGCUUUUGGGUUGUAAACCGAUUUGGAAUGUGAUGAAGAGUGAGUGACGGUAAUGGGUAAAGAAGCAACGGCUAACUACGUG